rnacentral:rRNA from 1 species
GACGAACGCUGGCGGCGUGCUUAGCACAUGCAAGUCGAACGGGAGUAUUGAAGAAGCUUGCUUUAGAGAUACUUUAGUGGCGGACGGGUGAGUAACGCGUGAGGAGCUGUCCUAUGCAGGGGGACAACAGUUGGAAACGACUGCUAAUACCCCAUAAGCCGAGAGGUAAAAGGAGCGAUCCGGCAGAGGAGGUACUCGCGUCCUAUCAGCUAGUAGGUGAGGUAACGGCUCACCUAGGCGAAGACGGGUAGCCGGCCUGAGAGGGCGAACGGCCACACUGGAACUGAGAUACGGUCCAGACUCCUACGGGAGGCAGCAGUGGGGAAUUUUGCGCAAUGGGGGAAACCCUGACGCAGCGACGCCGCGUGGAGGAUGACGGCCUCGGUUGUAACGUACCUGUCAGAAGGACGGAAAUACCCGCAACGGGACGUGACGGUACCGUUCCAGAGGAAGACCCCGGCGUAACCUACGUG